GAUGAACGCUGGCGGCGUGCCUAAUACAUGCAAGUCGAGCGAACAGACGAGAAGCUUGCUCCUCUGACGUUAGCGGCGGACGGGUGAGUAACACGUGGAUAACCUACCUAUAAGACUGGGAUAACUUCGGGAAACCGGAGCUAAUACCGGAUAAUAUAUUGAACCGCAUGGUUCAAUAGUGAAAGACGGUUUUGCUGUCACUUAUAGAUGGAUCCGCGCCGCAUUAGCUAGUUGGUAAGGUAACGGCUUACCAAGGCAACGAUGCGUAGCCGACCUGAGAGGGUGAUCGGCCACACUGGAACUGAGACACGGUCCAGACUCCUACGGGAGGCAGCAGUAGGGAAUCUUCCGCAAUGGGCGAAAGCCUGACGGAGCGACGCCGCGUGAGUGAUGAAGGUCUUCGGAUCGUAAAACUCUGUUAUUAGGGAAGAACAAGUGUGUAAGUAACUAUGCACGUCUUGACGGUACCUAAUCAGAAAGCCACGGCUAACUACGUG
rnacentral:rRNA from 1 species